rnacentral:rRNA from 1 species
CCUACGGGCGGCAGCAGUGGGGAAUAUUGGACAAUGGGCGAAAGCCUGAUCCAGCCAUGCCGCGUGUGUGAAGAAGGCCUUCGGGUUGUAAAGCACUUUCAGUGGGGAAGAAAGCCUUGGGGCUAAUACCCUCGAGGAAGGACAUCACCCACAGAAGAAGCACCGGCUAACUCCGUGCCAGCAGCCGCGGUAAUACGGAGGGUGCGAGCGUUAAUCGGAAUUACUGGGCGUAAAGCGCGCGUAGGCGGUCUGAUAAGCCGGUUGUGAAAGCCCCGGGCUCAACCUGGGAACGGCAUCCGGAACUGUCAGGCUAGAGUGCAGGAGAGGAAGGUAGAAUUCCCGGUGUAGCGGUGAAAUGCGUAGAGAUCGGGAGGAAUACCAGUGGCGAAGGAGGCCUUCUGGACUGACACUGACGCUGAGGUGCGAAAGCGUGGGUAGCAAACAGGAUUAGAUACCCGGGUAGUC